rnacentral:rRNA from 1 species
UGGGGAAUCUUCCGCAAUGGACGAAAGUCUGACGGAGCAACGCCGCGUGUAUGAUGAAGGUCUUCGGAUUGUAAAGUACUGUCAUUGGGGAAGAACGGUUUUCUUGAAAAGAUUGAGAAGACAUGACGGUACCCAAGGAGGAAGCCCCGGCUAACUACGUGCCAGCAGCCGCGGUAAUACGUAGGGGGCAAGCGUUGUCCGGAAUUAUUGGGCGUAAAGGGCGCGUAGGCGGGCCUUUAAGUCCGGUGUGAAAGAUCAGGGCUCAACCCUGAGAGUGCAUCGGAAACUGGAGGCCUUGAGGACAGGAGAGGAAAGUGGAAUUCCACGUGUAGCGGUGAAAUGCGUAGAUAUGUGGAGGAACACCAGUGGCGAAGGCGACUUUCUGGACUGUAACUGACGCUGAGGCGCGAAAGCGUGGGGAGCAAACAGGAUUAGAUACCCUGGUAGUCCACGCCGUAAACGAUGAGUGCUAGGUGUAGAGGGUAUCGACCCCUUCUGUGCCGCAGUUAACACAAUAAGCACUCCGCCUGGGGAGUACGCCGCAAGGUUGAAACUUGAAAUGAAUUGACGGGGUCAUAGCUGUUUCCU